CUUGAUCUGAGGAUUCACGGACUCAAUCAUUUCGUCCGUGAUCAGCCAAUGAGUUGGAAGUGUCCGCGUUUGCUAAUUUGUUUUUCAAUCGUCUGAAUUAUAUUUCAAAAGUGUGCGUGAAUAUUUGUGUGCGGUAUGUUGGCAAAUGCCACCAUCUAGAUAGAUUGGCUAGAUAUUUCCCACCCGCAGCAAAUUAUCGCACCCAAGCGCGACGCAACCCCCCCCCCCAUACGGACGGAAUAUUCCUGCCUGGCGAUCAUCACCUGCCAGAAGCGGACCGAUCCGUCGCCAUAUCGGUCCAAGGGAAGGCCAGGGGGCCUCCACGUGGACGAGAUCCACCAGCCGGCAAGCAAUCGCCAUCGCGCCGCGUCGGCUUCAUUAAGAAGCGUCAUCGCCGGCGUCAACAAGCCGGGAGCGUCGACCCCACCGUCAGGUCAUCGACUGGGUCAGGUUACGUAAAACCCACAACAAACCGCUCAUUGAUGGUUGUUGGUGAGAGGGAGAGUCUGCCGAUGAUGAGAGGCGCACUCCCACUUAGAGUGUAUUAGGUUCUGGUGGGCUC